rnacentral:rRNA from 1 species
UGCCAGCAGCCGCGGUAAUACGGAGGGGACUAGCGUUGUUCGGAAUUACUGGGCGUAAAGCGCACGUAGGCGGAUCAGUCAGUUAGGGGUGAAAUCCCAGGGCUCAACCCUGGAACUGCCUCUAAUACUGCUGGUCUAGAGAUCGAGAGAGGUGAGUGGAAUUCCGAGUGUAGAGGUGAAAUUCGUAGAUAUUCGGAGGAACACCAGUGGCGAAGGCGGCUCACUGGCUCGAUACUGACGCUGAGGUGCGAAAGCGUGGGGAGCAAACAGGAUUAGAUA